GGCCUUGCAGCCCAGUUGGCUAGAGCGUUGGCUGUACUAAAGCCUUCCCCGUGCUGACGUGGGUUCGAAUCCCAUCGAGGCCG
rfam:Schistocephalus solidus strain NST_G2 genome assembly, scaffold: SSLN_scaffold0006498